AUUUAUUUUCUAUUAAUGUAUAAUGCCAACGCAUAUUUUCUACUUCUAUUUGUGUGAAAAUGAAGGCAUGAAUAAAUUUGUAGCAGUUUAAAUUGACUGGAAAAAAUUGUAUGUAAUAUUGCCAGAAGAAGUCAGGUUACAGAUUAGUUAACUAUUAUCUUGCCAUUUUAUUUAUAAAGAGAAAUACAAAACAAGGUGUUCUUUACUCAGGAAAGAACUGGAGUUUAUCAUAAACAAUGGUUGUUUAAUAUUUGUUGUGCAUCAGCUAACAAUAUACCAAGAUCUGUAUGUAUCUAUUUAUCUGUCCAAUCUUCAGAUGGCAAAAUGAAUCUAGGAGAGUACAACCACAUUUAUACUGUAUACAAACUGAAAUAAUGUGCAGAAUCUAAUACGGAAGGAAUUCAAGAUUUCAGGUCUGCAGGAUGUAUCCUGCUGGCUAAUCCAAACAGAUAAAAAACAGAUCUGGGGAUUCAACUGCCUUGAGCCACCCAGAGCACAUACAGUGCAUCAAGCUGGACUUUAUCGCCACCUCUCACCCUGGGCUAACAGGAGACAGUAUUAUCUCUUUCAGCAGUCCAAUCCAAUGUUCCGGAUCCCUGAGUCCUUUGCUUCAGAGCCAGGCUUUUUAAAGUAUUUACAUGCAUAACUCCCUUUAACCUCAGAGGGUUUCAUAAUGUAGGCACCAAAGCACCUUAACCGUCUCCUUUAUCAGUGUUUUUGAUUGAGAAAGGUAAGUUUGGAUUUGGCUCAUGAGUCAGUAACUCUUCACUAGCCUGUUUUUUCUUACUAUUUUUGCUAUUUAUUUGUCUUUCAGUAGUAGAGCAUGGAGAACCCCUGGCUGCAACAGGAGCUAGCAAAUUCUGGGUGAGAUAGUUCCUCUCUGAAGAUCACUGCCAUUUCUGCAUUUCCCCCCCAGGAGCAGAGCAAGGAUUAAUUUAAUCUAUGUUUAUUUAAGAUUGGCUGUGCAUUGCCCCAGGGCACUGACUGGCUUGCGGCCAGGCAUGGACAGAUGUGCGCCAGAGCUGACUGCAGGCUCCUCGCCUUCUGAAAGCUGGGUUUCUACAUGCUUCACAAAACCAAGGGCAUUGAGGACCCCCCAGGCAAUCAAAAGGCACCUAGCAGGUGUCUGUGGCGCUGUAAGGACCUUGCAGAAAGGACAUAAGGUUGCAAAGUCCUUUCUCUCUGGACUAAGCAUGGCUGGAGUCACAAACAGGAGUAAAACAACCCAGAAAGAUGCUCCUGCUAGGGCUGGCAGAGAGAGAAAAACCUUCUGAAGCCGGGAAAGGGAGAGAUCUCGUCCAGGGUUCAGGGUGCUUCUUUCCUCUGCACUGACUUCAACCAUCCUCUGGAGAUGGAGACCAGAAGAGAGGCAGGAGAAGGAGCCAUGUUGUGUCUUGCUUCCUGUGUGGUUUCCUUUCCUUGCCCAUCACUUUCGUUAUCCAGAAUUUACUUUUCUGCUAGUCUACUAAUGUUAGCUCAGCAGCUCUGGCACUUUCCAAAGACACUUAGAGACCUUAGCCUCACGCUAGAGUUUUUUCUCCAGUCCAAAACACCACCUGUGUAAACCUCCCAGUCCUCUUUCUGAUGAGAAAACUGCUACGUUUUCAGGUAUAACACCCAGGUGGUAAAUAGCAACCAAAUGGCAAUUGCAGAACACAAGAUGUCUGGUCUCUCUUGUGAGAAAAGCAUGAGCUACUACUAAGAGCACCUACCAGAAGCUUGCUAGUACUUCAGCCACAGUGAGACAAACUCAGCUUUACUGUCUACCAUGAGGAACCUGGCUUUGGAGAAGUUUAUAAAAGUUAGGAGAUAUUUUUAUCCUCCACAUCUCUUUCUUCAAGAUGCUAUUGAAACUAGAAGACAAACACUUUGGAUGAUGAUAAAUGGGAACGGGAACAAGGCGCUUGAUCUGUAAUUUUACGGAAAAAUUCCAUUAUUAUUUAGAGAUUCCUGGAUGGAUGAAGGCCUGAAAAGUCACCUGGUAAAUGAUGUUUUGAAAAGCAACUACAGGGCUGUCACUCUAUAGCUUGAAGUCACAAGCAAAAAAUGGCUUAUAUAGAAGAAAAAGCCCUUUUUUCUGAGGAGAUAGGAAGGCUGACAGAACCUCUGCUAUGGCUGAGGAACAAAUGAAUACAGAAGAAAAUAGUUACAGAACCCAUUACAAGAUGAAAUUAUUAAUAUUAACUGUAGUCAAGAGUCAGAAUGGUGAAUGAGGGAAAUAUACUGGAAGAAAAAACUGAAUAAAUCCAAGAAAGACUACAUGAACUUUACUUGACUCUGAUAAAUCUUUCUGGCAGCUUUCAAAUAUCUGUGGCAAUUUGUAUGGAACCAAAUGGAAAAUUAAGCAAAGACUUUAUUCCUUGCAUAUUCAAAAACUGAUAAUAAUUUCUUUUGGUGUUUUAUUAUUGCCGUAGAUUACAUUUCUUUGAUACUACUUGAAUGGAACCCUUUUGACCAUGGAGGGAAUCAAAACAGCUUAUCUGAAGCUCUGAUUAAUAAAAAUCUCCCUUUGUGUGGAAGUGUUGCCUAACUUUCAAAAUGGAAAUUAAAAACCUGAAUUUCGCACCUCCGAGUCUUUCAUGUAAACAGUUGUUACUGCUUUCAAAUGCUCCAUGGACAAACUGGAAUUGCAUGAGAGGGGACUCAUCUGGGACCACUAAUCUUUUUGCCAGUGAUUUAAACCUAGUGUACAUUAGGAGUCAUUUCUUCUAGUUCUUUUCCAAAGUAUCUCAAUUUUCAAUGGCAUGCAUGUCCAAUAAUUUCCUCGAAAGGAUGAAAUUCCCCCAGUGCGAUAUUGGUACGUUUAUAUGGAAAUGAGGAGCCUGGAGUAGGAAGGGAAUCUACUGGAAGCAGCCAGAUAUCUGGCUGAGAAGGAGGCUGAAAUAGGUGUAAUUUCAUCACCCAGAAGUGCAAUGUCCAUGCUGCAGCCAAUUAGUCUUGUUCCUCAGAACUGGGAACACUGCAUCUACCAGCUUCAUGGUGAAAAAGGCAAACUCACACUGGCAACAGAGAGAGCCUGAAAACCUAGUGACUUACUAGCAUUCUGCUCUAGUGAGAAAUACACACGAUGCCAGCUAUCUUGUCAGAGAAAAGGGCUGGCGAUGCUGACUGAAAUCUGAACCAUUCAAAGGAGGGCAAAUCCUGCAUCCUGGAGCUGCAGGUUCCUGUCUGUAUCAUGCAGCCAAGGCUGCAGUACCCAUUUGUUUUGGUGGGCAAACACAGAGGAUGGAGAGCGCACUGGUGCAGCAAACAGUUAGCAAUAAAGUAGGACAGACCACAGUGCAGGGCACAGGGCACAGGCAAGCACACUGACUAGCACCUGCUUACACGUAACUGGCCUUUUCUAUCCCCUUAUCCCUCUAUAUUCCCAUGCUUAUUCCUUCUCAGUCCAUCUUGAUCUCUCCCCGUGGUUCUUCCCCUAAACACUGCAUAAUAAGCUUCACACAUUCCCACAGUCCUGUCUAAACUUCCUGUAAUAAGCUUUAGAUAGUGCGACAAUCCCCCUGAAAUAUCUCAAAAUAAAUUUGCUCUUUCCCAUGAGA